rnacentral:lncRNA from 1 species
CAAUUAAUGAAUGAUCCUGUAAUUAACGAAUGACCCAGGUGUGCCCCGCCCCCAGCGCUACAGGUACCGCCCGGAAAGGUGGGACAGGUGAGCUCAGGUGUGCCCCAGGUGAGGUCAGGUGUGUCCAGGUGUGCCCCAGGUGUGUUCAGGUGUGCCCCAGGUGAGCUCAAGUGUGUUCAGUGAGCUCAGGUGUGCCCCAGGUGUGCCCAAGUGAGCUCAGGUGUGCCCAGGUGUGUUCAGGUGUGCUCCAGGUGUGUUCAGGUGAGCUCAGGUGUGCCCAGGUGAGCUCAAGUGUGUUCCGUGAGCUCAGGUGUGCCCAGGUGAGCUCAGGUGUUCCCCAGGUGUGUCCCAGGUGUGCUCCAGGUGAACUGUCCCUGUCCCAUUGUCCAAGAGGGAGAAUCCAGGCCCUGGAAAGGCCCCGCCCCAUCCAGGUGUACCCUGCCCCAUCCAGGUGUGCCCCGCCCCAUCCAGGUGUUCACCUGCCCCAUCCAGGUGUGCCCCACCCCAUCCAGAUGUGCUGUGCCCCAUCCAGGUGUUCACUGCCCCAUCCAGGUGUUCACCUGCCCCAUCCAGGUGUGCCCCCCCCCCAUCCAGGUGUUCAUUGCCCCAUCCAGGUGUUCACCUGCCCCAUCCACGUCACCUCACCUCACCUGGGGCUCAGGUGUCUCAGUCCAGGUGUUGCUGCUGCAGUUUUGGGUUCCACACCUGUCCAGGUGUGCGGUUCUGGAGUCCCCUCACCUGGGGCUCAGGUGUCUCAGUCCAGGUGUUGCUGCUGCAGUUUUGGGUUCCACACCUGUCCAGGUGUGCAUUUCUGGGGUUCCUUUACCUGGGGCUCAAGUGUCGCUGUCCAGGUGUUGCUGCUGCACCUUUAUGGGGUCCAAUCUCCAUUUUUGGGUUCCACACCUGUCCAGGUGUGCAGUUUUGGAGUCCCCUCACCUGGGGCUCAGGUGUCACUGUCCAGGUGUUGCUGCUGCAGUUUUGGGUUCCACACCUGUCCAGGUGUGCAGUUCUGUGGUUCCUUCACCUGGGGCUCAGGUGUCACUGUCCAGGUGUUGCUGCUGCAGUUUUGGGCUCCAAACUCCACUUUUGGGGCCCACACCUGUCCGGGCUCACAGGUACCGAGUCCUUCCACCUGGGGCUCAGGUGAUGCAGAGUUUGGGGCCCAGACCUGUGCAGGUGUGCAGUUCUGGGGUUCCCUCACCUGGGGCUCAGGUGUCUCAGUCCAGGUGUUGCUGCUGCAGUUUCGGGUUCCACACCUGUCCAGGUGUGCAGUUCUGGAGUCCCCUCACCUGGGGCUCAGGUGUCGCUGUCCAGGUGUUGCUGCUGCACCUUUCUGGGGUCCAAUCUCCAUUUUUGGGGUCCACACCUGUCCAGGUGUGUGGUUUUGGAGUCCCCUCACCUGGGGCUCAGGUGUCACUGUCCAGGUGUUGCUGAUGCACCUUUAUGGGGUCCAAUCUCCACUUUUGGGUUCCACACCUGUCUGGGCUCGCAGGUACCGAGUCCUUCCAUCUGGGGCUCAGGUGCUGCAGAGUUUGGGGCCCACACCUGUCCAGCUGUGCAGUUCUGGGGUUCCUUCACCUGGGGCUCAGGUGUCACUGUCCAGGUGUUGCUGCUGCAGUUUUGGGCUCUGAAUUUCAUUUUUGGGGUCCACACCUGUCCAGGUGUGCAGUUUUGGAGUCCCUUCACCUGUGGCUCAGGUGUCUCAGUCCAGGUGUUGCUGCUGCAGUUUUGGGUUCCACACCUGUCCAGGUGUGCAGUUCUGCGGUUCCCUCACCUGGGGCUCAGGUGUCUCAGUCCAGGUGUUGCUGCUGCAGUUUUGGGUUCCACACCUGUCCAGGUGUGCAGUUCCGGGCUUCCCUCACCUGGGCAGGUGUGCGGUUCUGCGGUUCCCUCACCUGGGCAGGUGUGCAGUUCUGGGGUUCCCUCACCUGGAUCUCAGGUGUCACUGUCCAGGUGUUGCUGCUGCAGUUUUGGGUUCCACAGGAGAUUUUUGGGUUCCACACCUGUCUGGGCUCGCAGGUACCGACUCCUUUCAGCUGGGGCUCAGGUGAUGCAGAGUUUUGGAGCCCACACCUGUCCAGGUGUGCAGUUUUGGAGUCCCCUCACCUGGGGCUCAGGUGUCGCUGUCCAGGUGUUGCUGAUGCACCUUUCUGGGGUCCAAUCUCCAUUUUUGGGUUCCGCACCUGUCCGGGCUCACAGGUACCGAGUCCUUUCACCUGGGGCUCAGGUGUUGCAGUCCAGGUGUUGCUGCUGCAGUUUUGGGUUCCACACCUGUCCAGGUGUGCAGUUCUGUGAUUCCCUCACCUGGGGCUCAGGUGUCUCAGUCCAGGUGUUGCUGCUGCAGGUUUGGGUUCCACACCUGUCCAGAUGUGCAGUUUUGGAGUCCCUUCACCUGGGGCUCAGGUGUCUCAGUCCAGGUGUUGCUGCUGCAGUUUUGGCUUCCACACCUGUCCAGGUGUGCAGUUUUGGAGUCCCUUCACCUGUGGCUCAGGUGUCUCAGUCCAGGUGUUGCUGCUGCAGUUUCGGGUUCCACACCUGUCCAGGUGUGCAGUUCUGUGGUUCCGUCACCUGGGGCUCAGGUGUCUCAGUCCAGGUGUUGCUGCUGCAGUUUUGGGUUCCACAGGAGAUUUU